UACGUAGGGUGCGAGCGUUAAUCGGAAUUACUGGGCGUAAAGCGUGCGCAGGCGGUUUUGUAAGCCAGAUGUGAAAUCCCCGGGCUUAACCUGGGAAUGGCAUUUGGGACUGCAAGGCUGGAGUGUGGCAGAGGAGACUGGAAUUCCGCGUGUAGCAGUGAAAUGCGUAGAGAUGCGGAGGAACACCGAUGGCGAAGGCAGCCCCCUGGGCUAACACUGACGCUCAGGCACGAAAGCGUGGGGAGCAAACAGG
rnacentral:rRNA from 1 species